rnacentral:rRNA from 1 species
AGUGAACGCUGGCGGUAGGCCUAACACAUGCAGGUCGAACGGCAGCACAGUAAGAGCUUGCUCUUACGGGUGGCGAGUGGCGGACGGGUGAGGAAUACAUCGGAAUCUACUUUUUCGUGGGGGAUAACGUAGGGAAACUUACGCUAAUACCGCAUACGACCUACGGGUGAAAGCAGGGGAUCUUCGGACCUUGCGCGAUUGAAUGAGCCGAUGUCGGAUUAGCUAGUUGGCGGGGUAAAGGCCCACCAAGGCGACGAUCCGUAGCUGGUCUGAGAGGGUGAUCAGCCACACUGGAACUGAGACACGGUCCAGACUCCUACGGGAGGCAGCAGUGGGGAAUAUUGGACAAUGGGCGCAAGCCUGAUCCAGCCAUACCGCGUGGGUGAAGAAGGCCUUCGGGUUGUAAAGCCCUUUUGUUGGGAAAGAAAAGCAGCAGGUUAAUACCCCGCUGUUCUGACGGUACCCAAAGAAUAAGCACCGGCUAACUUCGUG